GAGGUAUGAGACAGACAUCACAAUUGAGCACAAACAAGCACAACACGUGAACGUAUAUAAGCUUUACCACCCAGACAUCUGUUUACAUAUUUCUACAUGGUUGUGUAGGACAUGACCUCGUCACACGUGGUUCACCUCUAAGGUAACGAUCUCCACGCAAUCAGAUGCCGUUACUCUUCGCCAGGUGAUAUCUGGUCUUCCCUGUAUGCUCCUUCUUUGUGGCAGUGUCCCUCCAAACUUAGUCAUGCAUCUCUUUCCCGUGAGACAUGUUCUGUUCUUAUCUAGUGAACGCUCCUUACAAGUCUGAGUAUGUGCUAUAUAAAUCUCGCAUUUUCUAUUAUGAUUAUUGGACAAUGCUUCAUGGAAGGAUGACAACUUUCUUAGAUCAUUGUGUAUCGUCAGCCUCAGGCCGUUUAAAACACAGCUACAAUAUCAAAUGAAUGUUCAUAUAAAUUCAAACUGCUCAAGGCUCUAGAGGUAAUUUCAGUCUUCUUGUCGGUCCUGGCUAUUCCGCCCAGCAUCUACUUGUCUUCUUGCAGAGGAGCCACCACCAAAAUGGCCGCAACGGAUGUGACCUUUUCAAAAUGGCCGCUCCGGAUAUGACAUCACCAAAAUGGCCGCAACGGAUGCGUUCUCAUCAAGAUGGCCGCCCCCAUAGAGACUUCCGCCAAUAUAGCCGCUUCUGGCUGUUACGUCACCGCUCCCAAAUGGGGGAUGGAUAGCACAUGCCUAUACUAUUAUCAUUCUAUUCCUCUCAAAGCGGGAAAUAGUCAUUUCUCUAGUGUGUAUUUGGUUACUUUAUUUAGGGUGACGAACCUUUAAAACUUGAGACAGCUUACACAUGUAAAGUACCAUAUAUUAGCAUACUACGCGCGUUCGUGUGUGUGUGUGUGUUUGCAUGCGCUCACACAUGUGAGUGUAUGAGUGUAUGCUUCUGAGAGAAAGAGAGCAGUUAUUUUAGUAAAGAGUCGCUCUGUUUUUGUAACAUCUAUUGUUUUGUUUUUUUAAUUUUAAAAAAUGGGAUGCGAGAAAUGAAAGAAGAGGGAGAGAGUAUGUAAUGUACUGAUAUGCUAUCUUAUAAUAUCGAGCUGAGAGGAGAGAUGGAAGAGAGUAUAAAAACCAAAAGUAUGUUCCUUCAUCGCAAUCCUUGGGAAAAGAAAUAUUUCUCUCAAAGUGCUUCACUUCCUUUCAAUUAUAUAUUUAUUUUGAGACUUGGUUUUGGAGUAAAGAGUUACUCUUUCGCGCUGCCUACCAUUUAUUUAUGAAGCUUCAGUAUAUUUGUUUACAGCCAAGAUGUGUAUGUACAUAUUUAUUUACCUGAAGCUUAGCAAUACAACAAAUAAUCCUGCUUCAGCGUGUGUUGAAAACUUAUAAAAAAUGCAACACAAGAAAUAGUAAGAUAUAUUCACACACACACACCUUUUUAAAAAUGAAUUUCUGUCACUAUCACACAUUUGAUGAAUACAUUUAGUCCACAUGCACACACUGCGGAAUCUUUCUCUGUCCUCCAUAUCUCUCACACAUACGCACAGGCAAACAUACACCAGGCACCAUCCUCACUCCACCUCCACCCCUAGACCCCCCUUCCUAUUUACUUCACAGCCUUGGCACAAAAUAAUAAUAAGCACAGUACACAGCUAAUUCUAACCGACAUCGAACUGCACUACAUUAUAUGUAACAAUCCAAAUCUCUAGACUUUCUUUACUUUUUCUGCGAUGUGAAUUGUUUGAGGAAGUAUUGUUAAAGAUUUUAAACUUUACUACAAUAACCGAAAUUAUUUGGAGGACUAUACUAACACACCCUGUCUACCACCGACAUAAGGUGAACCAGGAACAUAACAAGGCAAGGGAGACAAUCGCUAUGCUAGUUAUUGAACUAUCAUGGCGAUGGUAAAAUCACUUCCUAGGUAGCAAAAAAAAAAAAAAGAAAAAAAAAAAAA